rnacentral:rRNA from 1 species
AUUGAACGCUGGCGGCAUGCUUUACACAUGCAAGUCGAACGGUAACAGGCCGCAAGGUGCUGACGAGUGGCGAACGGGUGAGUAAUGCAUCGGAACGUGCCCAGUCGUGGGGGAUAACGCAGCGAAAGCUGUGCUAAUACCGCAUACGAUCUGUGGAUGAAAGCGGGGGACCGUAAGGCCUCGCGCGAGUGGAGCGGCCGAUGUCAGAGUAGGUAGUUGGUGGGGUAAAGGCUCACCAAGCCGACGAUCUGUAGCUGGUCUGAGAGGACGACCAGCCACACUGGGACUGAGACACGGCCCAGACUCCUACGGGAGGCAGCAGUGGGGAAUUUUGGACAAUGGGCGCAGGCCUGAUCCAGCAAUGCCGCGUGCAGGAAGAAGGCCUUCGGGUUGUAAACUGCUUUUGUACGGAGCGAAAAGGCUCUCUCUAAUACAGGGGGCUCAUGACGGUACCGUAAGAAUAAGCACCGGCUAACUACGUGCCAGCAGCCGCAGUAAUAC